AGUGAACGCUGGCGGCAGGCCUAACACAUGCAAGUCGAACGGAAGCACAGUAAGAGUUUGCUGUUACGGGUGGCGGGUGGCGGACGGGGGAGGAGUACAUCGGAAUCUAGUUUUUCGCGGGGGAUAACGGAGGGAAACCUACGCUAAUAUCGCAUACCACCUUCGGGGGAAAGGGGGGGAUCUUCUGACCUGGCGCGCUUGGAUGAGCCGAUGUCGGACUGGCUAGUUGGCGGGGUAAAGGCCCACCAAGGCGAGGAUACGUAGCUGGCCGGAGAGGAAGAUCGGCCACACUGUAACUGAGACACGGUCCAGACUCCUACGGGGGGCCGCAGUGGGGAAUAUUAGGCAAUGGGGGCGAGCCUGAUACAGCCAUACCGCGUAGGUGAAGAAGGCGUUCGGGUUGUAAAGCCCUUUUGUCGGGAGAGAAAAGCAGCAGGUUCAUACCCCGCUGUUCUGACGGUACCCGACGAAUAAGCACCGGCUAACUUCGUG
rnacentral:rRNA from 1 species